rnacentral:rRNA from 1 species
UACGUAGGGUGCAAGCGUUAAUCGGAAUUACUGGGCGUAAAGCGUCCGCAGGCGGCAAUGUAAGUCUGCUGUCAAAGCGUCUGGCUCAACCAGAUAAAGGCAGUGGAAACUACAUAGCUAGAGUAAGGUAGGGGUAGAGGGAAUUCCUGGUGUAGCGGUGAAAUGCGUAGAGAUCAGGAAGAACACCGGUGGCGAAAGCGCUCUGCUGGACCUUAACUGACACUGAGGGACGAAAGCUAGGGGAGCGAAUGGG